rnacentral:rRNA from 1 species
UACGGAGGAUGCGAGCGUUAUCCGGAUUUAUUGGGUUUAAAGGGUGCGUAGGCGGGAUGCCAAGUCAGCGGUAAAAAUGCGGUGCUCAACGCCGUCGAGCCGUUGAAACUGGCGUUCUUGAGUGGGCGAGAAGUAUGCGGAAUGCGUGGUGUAGCGGUGAAAUGCAUAGAUAUCACGCAGAACUCCGAUUGCGAAGGCAGCAUACCGGCGCCCUACUGACGCUGAGGCACGAAAGCGCGGGUAUCGAACAGG